UACGAAGGGGGCUAGCGUUGCUCGGAAUCACUGGGCGUAAAGCGCACGUAGGCGGAUUGCUAAGUCAGGGGUGAAAUCCUGGAGCUCAACUCCAGAACUGCCUUUGAUACUGGCGACCUUAAGUCCGGGAGAGGUGAGUGGAACUGCGAGUGUAGAGGUGAAAUUCGUAGAUAUUCGCAAGAACACCAGUGGCGAAGGCGGCUCACUGGCCCGGUACUGACGCUGAGGUGCGAAAGCGUGGGGAGCAAACAGG
rnacentral:rRNA from 1 species